rnacentral:lncRNA from 1 species
ACCUGCGUGUGUGUCUUGUCACACCCAGGCAGGCUUGUCCGCUCACAUCACAUCGCGCAUGGACAGGGCUGGUGCCACACAUUGUGCAUGCCCCGUCCGCGCAACAAGCCUGCACUCGGCGAGUGAGGCACACUAGUGCCUCAGGCAGUGUGCCGCCGCCCAACCACCUCUUGGGAUGUGCUGCCACUUGUGGAGGAAGAUUCUCCUCCAUUUUUUCUGUUGCGUCAAAUCAAGCAAUUUCCCAUUUCUACACUCUUUAUCUCUUCAUUGAAUUUCGCCGCCUGGCGCAAAUUCAAUAGCCUCCAUUUUCUAUAUACUGCCCUUCCUCCCAUUUUCUCCUCACUUCCAUUCUUCCACCUUCCAUGAGUUAGAGAGAGAGAGGGAGUGAUCUAGAGAGAGAAGGAGAGGAGGAGAACAACGGUGUAGGAAAAACUUCAAGAUG